CCUACGGGAGGCAGCAGUGGGGGAUAUUGCACAAUGGAGGAAACUCUGAUGCAGCGACGCCGCGUGAGGGAAGACGGUCUUCGGAUUGUAAACCUCUUUUUUUGGGGAAGAAAAUGACGGUACCCAAAGAAGAAGCUCCGGCUAACUACGUGCCAGCAGCCGCGGUAAUACGGAGGGAGCGAGCGUUGUCCGGAAUUACUGGGUGUAAAGGGAGCGUAGGCGGGCGAGAAAGUCGAAUGUUAAAUCUACUGGCUUAACUGGGAGCUGCGUUUGAAACUUUUUGUCUUGAGUGAUGUAGAGGCAGGAGGAAUUCGUGGUGUAGCGGUGAAAUGCGUAGAUAUUAGGAGGAACACCAGUGGCGAAGGCGGCCUGCUGGGCUUUAACUGACGCUGAGGCUCGAAAGCGUGGGUAGCAAACAGGAUUAGAUACCCGAGUAGUC
rnacentral:rRNA from 1 species